GUUAGGAAUAUUGGACAAUGGGCGCAAGCCUGAUCCAGCCAUGCCGCGUGAGUGAUGAAGGCCUUCGGGUUGUAAAGCUCUUUAGCCGAUGAUUAUAAUGACUGUAGUCGGAAAAUAAGCCCCGGCUAACUUCGUGCCAGCAGCCGCGGUAAUACGAAGGGGGCGAGCGUUAUUCGGAAUCACUGGGCGUAAAGCGUGCGUAGGCGGCUUUGCAAGUUGGGAGUGAAAGCCCAGGGCUCAACCCUGGAAUUGCUCUCAAAACUGCAAGGCUCGAAUUCGGGAGAGGAUAGCGGAAUUGUCAGUGUAGCAUGGAAAUGCGUAGAUAUUGACAGGAACACCAGUGGCGUAAGCGGCUAUCUGGACCGAUAUUGACGCUGAGGCACGAAAGCGUGGGGAUCAAACAGGAUUAGAAACCCGAGUAGUCC
rnacentral:rRNA from 1 species